rnacentral:lncRNA from 10 species
GGGGCUCCCAAGUUUCACAGGCUCUUUCUUAAUGAAUGAAAACUUGGAUGGGACUGAGGCGGGUCAGGGCUAACUCGGACUAACAAAGACUAACCGGGACUAACAAGGUUUCUUAAAAGGCUUCCUGUUCAUCUUCAGACUUGUAAUACAUUCAGUGGGAGACAGACCUAGGUCCACAUCUCAGCUCUGCCACUCAGCAGCCCUGAGCUCUUGGGGUUGUGUUGAAACUAGAGAGGACACUGUGUAAAGA